rnacentral:rRNA from 1 species
GUGAACGCUGGCGGUAGGCCUGACACCUGCAAGUCGGACGGCAGCACAGUAAGAGCUUGCUCUUACGGGUGGCGAGUGGCGGACGGGUGAGGAAUACAUCGGAAUCUACUUUUUCGUGGGGGAUAACGUAGGGAAACUUACGCUAAUACCGCAUACGACCUACGGGUGAAAGCAGGGGAUCUUCGGACCUUGCGCGAUUAAAUGAGCCGAUGUCGGAUUAGCUAGUUGGCGGGGUAAAGGCCCACCAAGGCGACGAUCCGUAGCUGGUCUGAGAGGAUGAUCAGCCACACUGGAACUGAGACACGGUCCAGACUCCUACGGGAGGCAGCAGUGGGGAAUAUUGGACAAUGGGCGCAAGCCUGAUCCAGCCAUACCGCGUGGGUGAAGAAGGCCUUCGGGUUGUAAAGCCCUUUUGUUGGGAAAGAAAAGCAGCAGGUUAAUACCCCGCUGUUCUGACGGUACCCAAAGAAUAAGCACCGGCUAACUUCGUG